ACAUGGUCUUUUGUUUAUAUAAAAGAUUUAACCUGCUCAAUGAAUAUUAAAUAGCUGCAGUAUUUUGACUGUACAAAGGUAGCAUAAUCAUUUGUUUUUUAAUUCGGAAACUAGUAUGAAUGGUUGGAUGAAAAAUAUACUUUCUUUAUUUUAUAGAAAAAACUUUAUUUUUUAGUCAAAAAGCUAAAAUGUUUUUAUAGGACGAGAAGACCCUAUAGAACUUUAUUAUAUAAUUUAUAAUUAAAAAUGAUUUUUAAUUUUUAUUAUAUUUUAUAUAAUUUCAUUGGGGUGAUGGAAAAAAUUUUAUAACUUUUUCUUUUUUAAUCAUUUUAAAUGUAUAUAUGAUCUUUUUUUAAAAAAGUAAGUCUAAGUUACCUUAGGGAUAACAGCGUUAUUUUCUUGGAGAGUUCUUAUCGAUAAGAGAGUUUGCGACCUCGAUGUUGGAUUAAAGUUAGUUUUAGGUGCAAAAAAUUAGAAUCUUGGUCUGUUCGACCAUUAAAUCUUUACAUGAU
rnacentral:rRNA from 1 species